rnacentral:rRNA from 1 species
GAUGAACGCUGGCGGCGUGCCUAAUACAUGCAGGUCGAGCGAACGGACGAGAAGCUUGCUUCUCUGAUGUUAGCGGCGGACGGGUGAGUAACACGUGGAUAACCUACCUAUAAGACUGGGAUAACUUCGGGAAACCGGUGCUAAUACCGGAUAAUAUUUUGAACCGCAUGGUUCAAAAGUGAAAGACGGUCUUGCUGUCACUUAUAGAUGGAUCCGCGCUGCAUUAGCUAGUUGGUAAGGUAACGGCUUACCAAGGCAACGAUGCAUAGCCGACCUGAGAGGGUGAUCGGCCACACUGGAACUGAGACACGGUCCAGACUCCUACGGGAGGCAGCAGUAGGGAAUCUUCCGCAAUGGGCGAAAGCCUGACGGAGCAACGCCGCGUGAGUGAUGAAGGUCUUCGGAUCGUAAAACUCUGUUAUUAGGGAAGAACAUAUGUGUAAGUAACUGUGCACAUCUUGACGGUACCUAAUCAGAAAGCCACGGCUAACUACGUG